rnacentral:rRNA from 1 species
GAUGAACGCUGGCGGCGUGCCUAAUACAUGCAAGUCGAGCGAACAGACGAGGAGCUUACUCCUCUGACGUUAGCGGCGGACGGGUGAGUAACACGUGGAUAACCUACCUAUAAGACUGGGAUAACUUCGGGAAACCGGAGCUAAUACCGGAUAACAUGUUGAACCGCAUGGUUCAACAGUGAAAGACGGUCUUGCUUUCACUUAUAGAUGGAUCCGCGUCGCAUUAGCUAGUUGGUAAGGUAACGGCUUACCAAGGCAACGAUGCGUAGCCGACCUGAGAGGGGGGUCGGCCACCAUGGAACUGAGAAACGGUCCAGACUCCUACGAGAGGCAGCAGUAGGGAAUCUUACGCAAUGGGCGAAAGCCUGACGGAGCAACGCCGCGUGAGUGAAGAAGGUCUUCGGAUCGUAAAACUCUGUUAUUAGGGAAGAACAAAUGUGUAAGUAACUAUGCACGUCUUGACGGUACCUAAUCAGAAAGCCACGGCUAACUACGUG